rnacentral:lncRNA from 1 species
GAGUCAGCGGGGGCGGGCGCUGCGGCGCGAGCCGCAUGAAUGAGACAAACGUGCCCCGCGCGAGACGUCGCGCGCGCCCGGGAGAGAGAGCCAAUGGGAACGCUGGGAGGGCUCGAGACCCGGCGCUGAGGGCAACGGCCGCGCGCCGGCUCGAAGACGAGCGUCGCCGGGCGGGAGCGCGCGGAGCAGGGCGGGCGUCGAGCGUGCGGGGGCAGCGCACUGCCUCUCAGAGGCCGGACGGCACUGCCGGGAGGCGGCGGCGACAACGACGGCGGCGGUGACGGGAGCCGCGCCGGGGGUGAGGCACCGUAAGCCAGUUGAACUCUGCAUCCAGAAAGCCCAAGAUUGAAGAAGAAAGAUCAGAGACGUUGACUAACCUGGAAACAGGGACCUCUUUGGAACUUUGUUUUCAUCCGCACUACCCUUUCAAAAGUAUCUUCGAACAGAAUUGAUUUCAUCUUAUUUUGCUUAUUGGGAAGAACAUGGCUUCAGGGAUUUUACAUUUCCCUUUAGUUUUGCAUGAACUCUAUAGGAAACAGAGCCCUUAAAGGGCUUGGGAAUAAUAAGAAGAGAUUGAAGACAGACAAGCUUGCUCUCUCUCUCCUAUUUUCCCUCCCCCUUCAAAGAAAAGGAUUUACAACUCAACCCUGUAACAGCUGCUGCCCAGCUUUAGCCAUCAAGAGAAAAUAAAUAAAAUUAAACCACCAUUGCCAGACGACAAGCCCUGAAGUCAAGGUGUGGGAGUGGUGGCAUUGAGAAAACUGCCUAAAAAGGACAAGGACUGCAGUAGAAACAGCUUCUCUAAAGCUGGAAGGGGCCCCAGGUUCCUUCAUGGAUUAAAAUAGAAUCACAGGGCACACCUCUUUUAGGUGCAGCUCACAUUUUGUGGAAGUGUGGUAGUCGUGGAGGUGCUGCAGUGUCUCCUCGGAAGAAUUUUUCCUUGCCCGAAGUGUCCUGCUCUGCCCUGAUAUUCUCCCCUUCUUUCCUUUUGAAGACUUGCCUCCAUCCAUGAGCUAUUCCUUGAUCUGUCUGACUGCCCAUGUUCUCCACCUGCAACCAUUUGCAUGUGUACAGCCUACUGUUUGUCUCCAAUUUUUAAAUUGUACAAGUUGUAUUUCUUAAUCUCUCCUUCU